GACGAACGCUGGCGGCGUGCUUAACACAUGCAAGUCGAACGAUGAACUUGGAGCUUGCUCUGGGGGAUUAGUGGCGAACGGGUGAGUAACACGUGAGUAACCUGCCCUGGACUCUGGGACAACUUCGAGAAAUCGGAGCUAAUACCGGAUAGGACCUUGCACCGCAUGGUGUGGGGUGGAAAGUUUUCCGGUCUGGGAUGGACUCGCGGCCUAUCAGCUUGUUGGUGAGGUAAUGGCUCACCAAGGCGUCGACGGGUAGCCGGCCUGAGAGGGUGACCGGCCACACUGGGACUGAGACACGGCCCAGACUCCUACGGGAGGCAGCAGUGGGGAAUAUUGCACAAUGGGCGCAAGCCUGAUGCAGCAACGCCGCGUGCGGGAUGACGGCCUUCGGGUUGUAAACCGCUUUUAGUAAGGAAGAAGGGGAGCUUGCUCCUUGACGGUACCUGCAGAAAAAGGACCGGCUAACUACGUGCCAGCCGCCGCGGUAAUAC
rnacentral:rRNA from 1 species